AUUUAAUAUGUCAAUAGAGGUACAAAUAAAAAGUAGAAUUUAUUUUUUAUUUGUUUAAAAGGGAAGUAGGUUAAAAUCCUACGCGGUCCCGCCGCUGUAAUGGUGAGAAACUUCAAUUUAUGCCACUGAUUUUUAAAUUGGGAAGGUUUGAAGAGACGAUGAUCCUAAGCCAGAAGAACUGCCUUUAUUAUACAUUUCAU
rnacentral:ncRNA from 2 species